rnacentral:rRNA from 1 species
AACACAGCACUGUGCAAACACGAAAGUGGACGUAUACGGUGUGACGCCUGCCCGGUGCCGGAAGGUUAAUUGAUGGGGUCAGCGCAAGCGAAGCUCCUGAUCGAAGCCCCGGUAAACGGCGGCCGUAACUAUAACGGUCCUAAGGUAGCGAAAUUCCUUGUCGGGUAAGUUCCGACCUGCACGAAUGGCGUAAUGAUGGCCAGGCUGUCUCCACCCGGGACUCAGUGAAAUUGAACUCGCUGUGAAGAUGCAGUGUACCCGCGGCAAGACGGAAAGACCCCGUGAACCUUUACUAUAGCUUGACACUGAACACUGGUCCUUGAUGUGCAGGAUAGGUGGGAGGCUUUGAAGUGUGGACGCCAGUCUGCAUGGAGCCAUCCUUGAAAUACCACCCUUUAAUGGCUGGUGUUCUAACGUGGGCCCGUGAACCGGGUUGCGGACAGUGUCUGGUGGGUAGUUUGACUGGGGCGGUCUCCUCCUAAAGAGUAACGGAGGAGCACGAAGGUUGGCUAAUCCUGGUCGGACAUCAGGAGGUUAGUGCAAUGGCAUAAGCCAGCUUGACUGCGAGCGUGACGGCGCGAGCAGGUGCGAAAGCAGGUCAUAGUGAUCCGGUGGUUCUGAAUGGAAGGGCCAUCGCUCAACGGAUAAAAGGUACUCCGGGGAUAACAGGCUGAUACCGCCCAAGAGUUCAUAUCGACGGCGGUGUUUGGCACCUCGAUGUCGGCUCAUCACAUCCUGGGGCUGAAGUAGGUCCCAAGGGUAUGGCUGUUCGCCAUUUAAAGUGGUACGCGAGCUGGGUUUAGAACGUCGUGAGACAGUUCGGUCCCUAUCUGCCGUGGGCGCUGGAAGAUUGAGGGGGGCUGCUCCUAGUACGAGAGGACCGGAGUGGACGCAUCACUGGUGUUCGGGUUGUCAUGCCAAUGGCACUGCCCGGUAGCUACAUGCGGAAGAGAUAAGUGCUGAAAGCAUCUAAGCACGAAACUUGCCCCGAGAUGAAUCUUCCCUGAGCCUUUAAGGCUCCUGAAGGAACGUUGAAGACGACGACGUUGAUAGGCCGGGUGUGUAAGCGCAGCGAUGCGUUGAGCUAACCGGUACUAAUGAACCGUGAGGCUUAACCUUACA